rnacentral:rRNA from 1 species
UGGGGAAUUUUGGACAAUGGGCGAAAGCCUGAUCCAGCAAUGCCGCGUGUGUGAAGAAGGCCUUCGGGUUGUAAAGCACUUUUGUCCGGAAAGAAAUCCUUGGCUCUAAUACAGUCGGGGGAUGACGGUACCGGAAGAAUAAGCACCGGCUAACUACGUGCCAGCAGCCGCGGUAAUACGUAGGGUGCAAGCGUUAAUCGGAAUUACUGGGCGUAAAGCGUGCGCAGGCGGUUUGCUAAGACCGAUGUGAAAUCCCCGGGCUCAACCUGGGAACUGCAUUGGUGACUGGCAGGCUAGAGUAUGGCAGAGGGGGGUAGAAUUCCACGUGUAGCAGUGAAAUGCGUAGAGAUGUGGAGGAAUACCGAUGGCGAAGGCAGCCCCCUGGGCCAAAUACUGACGCUCAUGCACGAAAGCGUGGGGAGCAAACAGGAUUAGAUACCCUGGUAGUCCACGCCCUAAACGAUGUCAACUAGUUGUUGGGGAUUCAUUUCCUUAGUAACUAGCUAACGCGUGAAGUUGACCGCCUGGGGAGUACGGUCGCAAGAUUAAAACUUAAAGGAAUUGACGGGGUCAUAGCUGUUUCCU